rnacentral:rRNA from 1 species
UACGUAGGGACCGAGCGUUGUCCGGAUUCAUUGGGCGUAAAGAGCUCGUAGGCGGCUGCUCAAGUCGAAUGUGAAAACUCGAGGCUCAACCUCGAGCCUGCAUUCGAUACUGGGCGGCUAGAGUCUGGUAGGGGGAUCUGGAAUUCCUGGUGUAGCGGUGGAAUGCGCAGAUAUCAGGAGGAACACCGGUGGCGAAGGCGGGUCUCUGGGCCGACACUGACGCUGAGGAGCGAAAGCGUGGGGAGCGAACAGG